rnacentral:miRNA from 1 species
GCCCCGCCGCUUGGCCUCUGGCGCGCUGCGGCGCGGGCUUUCGCUUUCAGUCGCCGCCGGCUGGCGAGCACAGCGGAGCCUGGGGAGAAGGCGCUGCGC